rnacentral:rRNA from 1 species
CCUACGGGAGGCUGCAGUGGGGAAUAUUGCACAAUGGGGGAAACCCUGAUGCAGCGACGCCGCGUGAGUGAAGAAGUAUUUCGGUAUGUAAAGCUCUAUCAGCAGGGAAGAAAAUGACGGUACCUGAUUAAGAAGCCCCGGCUAACUACGUGCCAGCAGCCGCGGGAAUACGUAGGGGGCAAGCGUUAUCCGGAUUUACUGGGUGUGAAGGGAGCGUAGACGGCAGCACAAGUCUGGAGUGAAAUGCCGGGGCUUAACCCCGGAACUGCUUUUGAAACUGUGCAGCUAGAGUGCGGGAGAGGUAAGUGGAAUUCCUAGUGUAGCGGUGAAAUGCGUAGAUAUUAGGAGGAACACCAGUGGCGAAGGCGGCUUACUGGACUGUAACUGACGUUGAGGCUCGAAAGCGUGGGGAGCAAACAGGAUUAGAUACCCUUGUAGUC